GAAUGAAAGAAAGGACAACGUCCUGUCAAAGUACUUUUAAACCGGGUCCCUUUUCUAAUAUCUCCGUUUAAUACACAUUAUAUUAAUAAAGGUUGUGGAUGGAGAGUCAAGGAUGGAGACCCUAUUAAUGUGUUAGUGCCUUUUGUAUUUUAUUCUCUGGAGAGCGACGAAUUUUUUAUCGUUUUGUUGGAUUUUUUGGGGUCACAUUUUGCUGUUGUGCUUACAGUCUUUGCUGUUGGUGUUGCGUGUUGCUGUUUUUGCAGUUGUUUUUAGCAGAACUAAUUUAGAAUGGGUCGUAAAAAUAUAAGUACUACUUUCUAUACAAUAAUUAUUACAUGUAGCAACGUUAACUCAGCUACGUUCUUAUUUAUUAAUACAAGAGAAAAUUCCUUGUAAAUUUUUGGGAGAAUUGCAGUUAGCAAUAAAAAUGCAAGUUCAUUGCAGAGUCAGCCAAUAAAAAAAUUAUUCAAGAAAUUUUGCCGAAACUGUGCUUUUGUUUUGCUAAGUUUUUAUUUAUUUAUGUUGACACUAGGAUUGUGAGGUCCGAUUAAUUAUAUAAUUAAUUUUGAAUGAAAGAAAGGACAACGUCCUGUCAAAGUACUUUUAAACCGGGUCCCUUUUCUAAUAUCUCCGUUUAAUACACAUUAUAUUAAUAAAGGCCGUGGAUGGAGAGUCAAGGAAGGAGACCCUAUUAAUGUGUUAGUGCCUUUUGUAUUUUAUUCUCUGGAGAGCGACGAAUUUUUUAUCGUUUUGUUGGAUUUUUUGGGGUCGCAUUUUGCUGUUGUGCUUACAGUCUUUGCUGUUGGUGUUGCGUGUUGCUGUUUUUGCAGUUGUUUUUAGCAGAACUAAUUUAGAAUGGGUCGUAAAAAUAUAAGUACUACUUUCUAUACAAUAAUUAUUGCAUGUAGCAACGUUAACUCAGCUACGUUCUUAUUUGUUAAUACAAGAGAAAAUUCCUUGUAUAAUUUUGGGAGAUUUGUAGUUAGCAAUAAAAAUGCAAGUUCAUUGCAGAGUCAGCCAAUAAAAAAAUUAUUCAAGAAAUUUUGCCGAAACUGUGCUUUUGUUUUGCUAAGAUUUUAUUUAUUUAUGUUGACACUAGGAUUGUGAGGUCCGAUUAAUUAUAUGAUUAAUUUUGAAUGGAAGAAAGGACAACGUCCUGUCAAAGUACUUUUAAACCGGGUCCCUUUUCUAAUAUCUCCGUUUAAAUCACAUUAUAUUAAUAAAGGCUGUGGAUGGAGAGUCAAGGAUGGAGACCCUAUUAAUGUGUUAGUGCCUUUUGUAUUUUAUUCUCUAGAGAGCGACGAAUUUUUAUCGUUUUGAUGGAUUUUUUGGGGUCACAUUUUGCUGUUGUGCUUACAGUCUUUGCUGUUGGUGUUGCGUGUUGCUGUUUUUGCAGUUGUUUUUAGCAGAACUAAUUUAGAAUGGGUCGUAAAAAUAUAAGUACUACUUUCUAUACAAUAAUUAUUACAUGUAGCAACGUUAACUCAGCUACGUUCUUAUUUGUUAAUACAAGAGAAAAUUCCUUGUAAAUUUUUGGGAGAAUUGUAGUUAGCAAUAAAAAUGCAAGUUCAUUGCAGAGUCCGCCAAUAAAAAAAUUAUUCAAGAAAUUUUGCCGAAACUGUGCUUUUGUUUUGCUAAGAUUUUAUUUAUUUAUGUUGUCACUAGGAUUGUGAGGUCCGAUUAAUUAUAUGAUUAAUUUUGAAUGAAAGAAGGGACAACGUUUAUUGAAACUUUGUUACUUUUUUUCUUGAGAUUUUUAACCAAUGAAAUUCAAGGAAAUGUGAACAAUGAACCACAAUUUCUUCUACACUUCUUUAUUGCAAAAAUAACAACACCUUUUAGAAAGGUACUUGGUGUUAAGUAGAGCAGAGAGACCUGUUAGAUGUAAAUGCUCAACGUUAAGUAUGAUAUGAUCCAGACUUAAUUCUAUUAACAGGAAAUUUAAGUUUCAGGGAAAAGAAAGGGAAAAGGAUUAAUUGGCCCUGAAAAGCUGAAAAGUAAGUUGGUAACGAUGUACAUAAUAUUUGUGUAAUAUUAAAUUUCUCUUUCUUUUUUAGUUUCAGUUAGUACGUCGAGAGUCGGUAAGUAAUCGUAUAGGAUAUACUAGUACUUAUACACGCAGGGAAAACAUGGAUGAUAAACUUAUUUUGGCAUUUUGGAAGAAAAGUAAUUCCCAAGUUUCUCUUCUUUUUGAAAAUGCAAAGUAAAACACUCGCCCUGCUGGUGGCAAGUAAUGAAAGGUACAAAGAGAAGCAUUUUUUUUAUUCAAAAAAAAUACAGCGGGAAAUAUUCUGCAGAAGGAAGAUUAACAGCCAAUAGUUAUGGAAAUACAUAUGUUUCAACUACCAUCAAUUGUACUGCAUUCAUUGGUGUUAAAAAAACGGAAAUCAUUAAAGUUUGUUUGAUGAAAUGUUGUAAACUUGGAUAGAGUUAAAUGUGGUAGCAUAUUGUGUAAGAAGAAGAAGAAGAAAUUCCAGGUUUGAUACAGUCUUCACGCCAAUAAGAAUAAAUCCUGUAGAUUGGGAAGAUACGAUGAAUCUACCUGGUACGGUAACUUUUUACUACUGUGUAAAGAAUUUUAGUUUUCUCAGAGAACGAAGAAAUGGAGGUAGGAAGUGAGUAAAGACUAUUAUUUCAAACUUCUUUAACCCAUUGUCAACGCAAAGAUAAUUGAAAAGCAUGGACAUAAUCGAUGUGUUACUUUGAGGAAAAUCAGUAUUUUGCAGCGUUUCCCCCUUUUCAUCAAUUGUAAAAAAAAUUGGAAAACAACAAAACAAUCCCAAUAAUCAAUUACAAUUGGUUUUAGAGAGAAUCUGCUGUUGAAAUGUAUUUUCAUCAACACAUCCUUCUUAAGAAUUUUAUUUUCUUAAGAUUUUUAUAUGAGGCAUAUCAACAUUAUUAAACAGCCACAGCAUGUGCAAUGAACUUCAUAUUAUUGUUUACCGCGUUCCGCCAUGUUUAAUGAUUUUACAAGCAUAUUGACAGAAUAUCAUUUAACUGCAAUAAAGUUUCCCUUUACAAUUUUCUAGUUCGGAACUUUAGAAAAUGAUAAAAUAAUUAUUUUCAGUGAUUUCAGUGAUCUCUUAAUGUAACAAUAAAAAUGAAUGCAAGCAAGUUCAUCAAAGCAAAGUCCGUCAAUAAAAAAAAUAUUCAAGAUUUUUUGCCGAAACAAAUUUAAUGGCAAGUGAUUCGCUUUUUAGAUAAUAAGGAAACUCUGUACACUUACAGACAGUUAAUAAAAUUCGUACACUUGCAGACAGUUCAUAAAUUUCGGUCUACACCCAAAAUAUAUUAUUGUUUUGUUGGUUAACUCUGUGUGAACUGUGCUUUUGUUGUGCUAAGUUUUUGUUUAUUUAUGUCGACACAAGGAUUGUGAGGUGCAAUUAAUUUUAUGAUUAAUUUUGAAUGAAAGAAAUUGCUAUUUUUUUACUUGUUCUCCAUUUCGGCACAGUCUUUCUUUCGCACACCUUUUUAAAGGUAGGUUUCAAUACGACUGCAUUUUCCGCUUCGAGCAUACGUAAUGAAGUAGAAUGGCCGCUGACUCGACGUAAAAAGAUGCUCCCGAGCUGUUCUCAAAAAGUUUAACUCACUCGACUUUUUCAGCGCGUAUUUCUUCUCUUCAGCUUUUUAACCAAUGAAAUUCAAGGAAAUGUGAACAAUUGCGCAAUCCAUUUUAUUUAAGAAAAAUGUAGGAAAAAACCAAUUUUUCUCUACUUUUUUAUUCCCAAAAUAACAACACCUUGUGUUAAGUAGAGCAGAGAGACCUGUUGUAUGUAAAUGCUCAACGUUAAGUAUGAUGAAAUGUUUAAGGUAAUAGUUCAUGUCGUGGCAUAUUCAUAACAAUCUCAAUAAUUAUGUUAUUUAACGAUUUACAUAAUAUUUGUGUAAUAUUAAAUUUCUUUCUUUUUUAGUUUCAGUUAGUACGUCGAGAGUCGGUACGUAAUCGUAUAGGAUAUACUAGUACUUAUACACGCAGGGAAAACAUGGAUGAUAAACUUAUUUUGGCAUUUUGGAAGAGAAGUAAUUCCCAAGUUACUCUUCUUUUUGAAAAUGCAAAGUAAAACACUCGCCCUGCUGGUGGCAAGUAAUGAAAGGUACAAAGAGAAGCAUUUUUUUUAUUCAAAAAAAUACAGCGGGAAAUAUUCUGCAGAAGGAAGAUUAACAGCCAAUAGUUAUGGAAAUACAUAUGUUUCAACUACCAUCAAUUGUACUGCAUUCAUUGGUGUUAAAAAAAACGGAAAUCAUUAAAGUUUGUUUAAUGAAAUGUUGUAAACUUCGAUAGAGUUAAAUGUGGUAGCAUAUUGUGUAAGAAGAAGAAGAAGAAAUUCCAGGUUUGAUACAGUCUUCACGCCAAUAAGAAUAAGGAAAAGAAAAGGGAAAGUGUAAAUUUAGAGGUAGUUGGCCCUGCCCACCUGAAAAUUGCAAAAAAAGAUCAAUGGUCUGAUGACGACUUGGACAAUGAUGUUGCAAGAAAGACCAAUCGUCUGAUGAUGAUUUAGAAAAUGAUGUUGCAAGAAAGACCAAUCGUCUGAUGAUGAUUUAGAAAAUGAUGUUGAAGAGCAUUACACGGAUAUGGAUGGGGCGACAAGCUGCCGGUGUCUAACAUUAUGAGAUGAAAAAGUUCUGAGACUGCGUCCGUUUCCAGAUGCGUCUGUGUCCAUCCGUACCCCUUAGUAAGAUAUAUGAAAAUGUCUGAGUCUCUCGUUAAAACGCAAAUUGACAUGGAGUGUCUCUCGUGGAAACAAUACUUUGACAAAACACAAAGUGAUUUUUAUAGAAUCACCAACAUUAGUUUAAGUGAUUCCGAAAAUUAAAGACCUUCAUUUUUAUGUAAAUAAAUAUAUUUUAAUCCAAAAAUGUAUUAAGUCUCUUUACUCUUGUCACCC